AGCGCAGGUGGUUGUAUAAGUCUGAAGUAAAAGGCAGUGGCUCAACCAUUGUGUGCUUUGGAAACUGUACAACUUGAGUGCAGAAGGGGAGAGUGGAAUUCCAUGUGUAGCGGUGAAAUGCGUAGAUAUAUGGAGGAACACCAGUGGCGAAGGCGGCUUACUGGACGGUAACUGACGUUGAGGCUCGAAAGCGUGGGAGCAAACA
rnacentral:rRNA from 1 species